AAGAAAUUUAAUAAUUUUGAAAAUGGAUUUUUUUUUUUUGUUUUGGCAAGAGCAUGAGAGCUUUUACUGGGCAAGAAGACAAGAGAUGGAGAGUCCAGCCGGGCCUGCGCUUAAGUGCGCGGUCUUGCUAGGCUUGUAAGUUUCUUUCUUGCUAUUCCAAACGGUGAGAGAUUUCUGUGCUUUUGUUAUAGGACAAUUAAAACCGUUUCAAUACAACACACUGUGGAGUUUUCAUAUCUUUGCAACUUUUUCUUUGGGCAUUCGAGCAAUCGGGGCCCAGAGGUAACAAACACAAACAAUUUUAUCUAUUCAUUAAAUUUUUGUCAAAAACAAGAAUUUUCGUAACUGGAAAUUUUAAAAUAUUAA
rnacentral:rRNA from 3 species